AAAGAUGGUUCUUUAAAGGUUCUUUACCUGUAGAACCAGUUCUUUUUAGAACCAUGCAUCCUGAAGAACCCUUUUAAUGUUGAAAUGGUUCUUUGUGUCAGUUUAGGGUACUUUAUUCCCACCCCCUUUUUUUCAAAGCACUUCAUUACUUAAUUUCUGGAGUUCAGUGAUCCAACUACAGAAUUUCAACACACUUUCAACAGGUACAUUAUUUCAUUCUUAAAUUGAAAUACAAAUUUAACUUUAAAUUUUAUCUGGUCUUCAAACAAAUAUUUUCUAUUCUUUUUUGAUCAUGCAAGUGUGAGCAGUGCUGGCUGAGGAUACUCCUCUUCUCCACUAAGUAACUGAGACAUUGAAUUUAAAAUUAACUAAAACAAGCAACACUUUAAAAACAAUGAUGGCUCAUUUGGCUUACUGAUUCUCUGGAGUUCAUCUAUCUAACUACACAGACCAUUCAACACACUCUCAGCAGUUUAAGAGAUCAUGUAAGUGUGACCAGCUAUGUUCAGAUGCCCUAACAUCCUACAACCUUGUCAUCUGCAGAGCGAAACGAUCAUGCACUCACACCAAAUUGUAAUACCAGGCAGAUAGAGAGGUAAAAAACAAUAUUAAUAAAUAAUAUAUACAAAUAAUAUUAUGUAUAUAUUAUUUAUGAUAUAAAUGUUGAUAUACUAAUAUUAAUGAAAAUAAACUAUCAUUAAAAAGGGUUAUUUAUAACAUCAUCAAGGUACUAUAUAGCAUUUUCAAAGCAUGGUUCUUUAUGGAACCCUAAAAGGGUUCUAUUUAGCAACAAAAAGGGUUCUGCUAGCCGAAGAACCUUUUUCUGGUACCGUUUAGAACAACUUUUCAUAAGAGUGUACUAUAAACUUAAUUAUGAACUACUAAACUACUAGUUUUGAUAAUGAUACAGAAGAUUUCUUUCCAGAGUCAACUUGAGAUGAAAAACCUUGCACAAGGGUGUAAACUUGAUAGAGGAAGAUUUGACUGAAUGAUUCUAGAGCAAACCCAAUGGAGAGAUUCAGCAAAACAGGCCAAGCUUAUUUUACUGAAUAGGACAAAGUGACUAUUAAUUAUAUUAGAAGUAUAAAUCAGUGUUCUAUAAACACAAAAUAUUUGACAGGGUAAAAUAUUAACAGUAUCAUUUUAUUGCAUAAAA